AAGGUUUUAAGUUAAUAUAAACAAAUAAUCUUCAAAAUUAUAUAUAAAGAAAUUAUUUAAUUAUUCUUUAAGCCUUA
rnacentral:tRNA from 1 species